UUGAGAGGUGGAAAAAGGUCGACUUCGCACUCUUUUAACUCUCUUUCGGUCAAACGUAUCUAUAUAAACUAGUGAAGUGGAGGAGAAAGAGGAUGAGCUUUUCUUUUUAAUCGUCUCUUCACUCCUUUCGUCCUCCAACCUUCGUACUUAUUAAACCUAAAAUUACUGAACCCUGAUCAGAUGCCAAAUCAACAAGAUGAAAAUCCCAAGGAAGAAGAAAAG
rnacentral:misc_RNA from 1 species